CCUACGGGAGGCAGCAGUGAGGAAUAUUGGUCAAUGGGCGUAAGCCUGAACCAGCCAAGUCGCGUGAGGGAUGAAGGUUCUAUGGAUCGUAAACCUCUUUUAUCAGGGAAUAAAGUGUGGGACGUGUCCUAUUUUGUAUGUACCUUAUGAAUAAGGAUCGGCUAACUCCGUGCCAGCAGCCGCGGUAAUACGGAGGAUCCGAGCGUUUUCCGGAUUUAUUGGGUUUAAAGGGUGCGUAGGGGGGCCUUUAAUCCAGCGGGAAAAGUCGGUGGGCAAAGCAGAGAAUUGCCGUUGAAACUGGGGGGCUUGAGUGUGUAUGAGGUAGGCGGAAUGCGUGGUGUAGCGGUGAAAUGCUUAGAUAUCACGCAGAACCCCGAUUGCGAAGGCAGCCUACCAAGCCAUGACUGACGCUGAUGCACGAAAGCGUGGGGAUCAAACAGGAUUAGAUACCCGAGUAGUC
rnacentral:rRNA from 1 species